GCGAACGCUGGCGGCAGGCUUAACACAUGCAAGUCGAGCGGGCAUCUUCGGAUGUCAGCGGCAGACGGGUAAGUAACACGUGGGAACGUACCCUUCGGUUCGGAACAACUCUGGGAAACUGGAGCUAAUACCGGAUACGCCCUUAUGGGGAAAGGUUUACUGCCGAAGGAUCGGCCCGCGUCUGAUUAGCUAGUUGGUGGGGUAACGGCCUACCAAGGCGACGAUCAGUAGCUGGUCUGAGAGGAUGAUCAGCCACACUGGGACUGAGACACGGCCCAGACUCCUACGGGAGGCAGCAGUGGGGAAUAUUGGACAAUGGGCGCAAGCCUGAUCCAGCCAUGCCGCGUGAGUGAUGAAGGCCUUAGGGUUGUAAAGCUCUUUUGUCCGGGACGAUAAUGACGGUACCGGAAGAAUAAGCCCCGGCUAACUUCGUG
rnacentral:rRNA from 1 species